AUGGUCUACAGACCGAUUUAACAAUGGAAAUACAUGGAAACAGUCUAGAUCUAGCCCAUGAUUUAAUGUAGAAAACAUCCCAGGAGGUUUGUGGCCCCUUAUUGGGGAGCACGGGCUAGUGGUAACAGCUGGAGCGGCAUUAGUGGAAUGGUAUUGUAAUGUAGCUGGAGCGGCAUGAGUGGAAUGGUAUUGUAAUGUAAUCGAACCCUCAACCUUCUAGCCCGAAGUCCAGCGCGCUAUCGACUGUGCCCCAAAAGCAUGCUCAAGCGGCAGUGUCGAUAUCCACGCUUAUAAACCCAGGUUAGUUUCAAUUUAUUUGCCGUUCCAUUCCAGCCAUUAUUAUGAGCCGCCAUCCCCUCAGCAGCCGCCACUGAUUUCAAUAAACAACCAGAAGUUGGAAUCGGUUCAGGGAACGAAAGUGAUCUCUAGUGUUCCAGAACAGAACCGUUAUAGUGAAAUCUUGAGAACCGGUUAAUAAUGUUAUUUUUUUGUAAAAAAAAAACAAGAUUCCUAAUGUCUAGUAUACAAUUCUGUAAUUCGGUGAAGUUAUGACGCUAGUAAUAGCCUAAACCACACGUGUCAAACUAAUCCCACGGAGGGUCGAGUUUCUAAAGAAUUCCACUCACCUGGUUAUCUAGGUUUUAUUUGAAAGGAAAAACCUACAGACCCUCAGCUUCAAGCCAAGCCUCCUCCAUGUCCACUAUUUUCUCUCUCCCCACCCGUGAAAUUUCAGUCGCAUCUCAGCCCUGCACUUAUUUGUCCAUCAAACAUGUAGACAACUAGUUUACCCGUGACAUAGCAAGCUGCUCUAGCCACGCUAAUUGGUGGACUAAUUUAAUUAGCUAAAAUGUAAAACUGUUGAUUUCACGGGUACAAAAUGAAGGAAAAUGAACUAUAAGAAUAGUUACUUUUUUGUUUUCGAACCGGUUCGGAACUUUAUGCUGGUUGGACCAGUGGGACAGGACGAAAUAUAUAGGGGUUCUGCUCAGAGAACAACGAUUGGAAACCGUUAACAACCUAAGCAUUAUGAAACGUCCAUUAGAUCAAAUAACGCUCACCUAUCAAAAUAGCAAUUCACUUUUAUCUUGACCAAAUUCGAUACUCUCGUUGCCCCUCAUAACAAACAAACAAAAUAAUACUUGACACUUGGUCUGCUUAACGCUAUAAAUCUGGGAGGAGUCGAACCUCCCGCUUCGCCUCUUUCCUCUCUGCUUGUGUUUAGCGGGUAAAUGUGCCCUGGCUGCCGUCGACUCUCAAAAUGACGAAAUUACAGUUUCUAAAUGUAUUUUUGACAGAAAGGUUGAUGUUAGCUGCCCAAGAUAUAUAUAAGCAACUGGAAGAGACCAUAUUAGAAUACCAGGAGGAAAUAUUCCAGGGGAAUCGAGAGAAUGAUAAACUGAGACGCAAGCUUCACGAAAAUGGGAUUCCAUGGCCAGACCUAGAGCCAUUUUCUCCUGUAGAAUCUGAGGGAGGAGGAGGGAGCCAUUGGGCAUAAGCAGGAACCAGACCCCGGACAGACUUUGGAGAAGCAGGACGGAAGGGCCAGAAGGGAGGAAAAGCUGUUUAGGGGACUGGCCCCUCUGUCUAGAUUCACUCCUUCUAAUGGAAAUGAUGACUAUGAUCAGAACCCACCUCAACCCAGCUCACAUCAGUUCCAAAUACAAACUCACACUGGGAAGACUAUAGAGGGAGGCUUUCUAUCCAGCUCAACAACCUCCAAUCCAAUCAAAACAGAGACUGAUAGAUUGGGCGUCUGUCCAUUGGAUGAUCCAUCAAGUGACCCAAAUACUUUCUCUUCAGGGAACCUUGACCUUUCGGCAGCACAGAGCGAGAACAGUGACUAUGAGAACACUGAUGACUUCUGGUGCUGUGCGGUGUGGAAGGAAAGCAAGGAGGAGGUGGAGGGUGUGGUUCCCAGUACCUGGGUGGUGGGCAGGAAGGUCAUUUCGCCUUCAGCCAAUGGCAGGAAAGUCCUGAAAGAAAGACACAAGCCAGGAGCCAGUUGGACAGCAUAUGACCUUGUUAAGGUUAAACUAUUCUGAGAAUCUCUGGAGGAGUGUGAAGGGUACAGUAGGUCCAGUGAUGAGCUGACUGACAACGGAGACAACACGUGAGCCCAACACGCAGACAAAAAGGAAGACGAAGACGGACGAGGGACACGUUACUGACACUGGGCACAUACCUCAAGGAGGACCCCAUGGAGAUGGGACACACAGGCGAGAGAAUGUUUCGAUUGUAUUCGGCCACACAGUUGUUGCAGGUUCAUCAAACUCCCCUCUGCUCUCCUCUUCAACUUUGAAACCCUGGAGGAAAGUUCUGCAGUUCUAGAAGCAGAACCUCAUCUCGAUCCCUACAUCUACCAGUGUUCUUUCCCAUUGGCUUGCCACACACAUGGUCUAUGUCAGUUUGAGGCGCUGUACACUACAUGACCAAAAGUAUGUAGAACAUCUCAUGCUCGUCAAACAUCUCAUUCCAAAAUCAUGGGCAUUAAUAUGGAGUUGGUCCCCCCCCUUUUGCUGCUAUAACAGCCUCCACUCUUCCAGGAAGGCUUUCUACUAGAUCAGGUAUUCCCACCCCUGCCGUCGGGGGUACGCCAAAUAAAAAAAGUAAUUCACAUUUAUUAAAAAGAAAGGUGAAUCUGUACUGAUGGCGCAAAGGCCAUGACUGGGAGACAUAGUGGAGUGGUAACGCUCGUGCAAGCAGUUGCUCCCGACACCACUUGGGUACACAUCCACCGAGGGGCUUUUGCUGCCAAGGGAAUGCCUGCCAACAUGAAAGACAUUUUAGACACUACAAUGAAAAUGGUUAGCUUUGUUAAAGCAAGGCCCCUGAACUCUCGUGUAUAGUCCCGUGUGGCUUAGUUGGUAGAGCAUGGUGUUUGCAACGCCAGGAUUGUGGGUUCAAUUCCCACGGGGGACCAGUACGGAGAAAAAAAAUGUAUGAAAUGUAUGCAUUCACUACUGUAAGUCGCUCUGGAUAAGAGCGUCUGCUAAAUGACUAGAAUGUAAAUGUAAUGACCCAGUCUGUACACUCCCAUGGAUUCUGCUUCUGUUCUGUUUUGUCUUCCCUGUGGCUCAGUUGGUAGAGCAUGGUGUUUGCAACGCCAGCAUGGUGUGUGCAACGCCAGAGUUGUGGGUUCGAUUCCCACGGUGGGCCACUACAAAAUAAAAAUGAAAUGUAUGCAAGGUAAGUCGCUCUGGAUAAGAGCGUCUGCUAAAUGACUAAAAUGUAAAUGUAUUUUCUGCACUAUGCAAUGAUAUGGGCAGUGACCAUGUAACGCUUGUUA